ACUCCUGCGGGAGGCAGCAGUGGGGAAUUUUGGACAAUGGGCGAAAGCCUGAUCCAGCAAUGCCGCGUGAGUGAAGAAGGCCUUCGGGUUGUAAAGCUCUUUUGUCAGGGAAGAAACGGUGAAAGCUAAUAUCUUUUGCUAAUGACGGUACCUGAAGAAUAAGCACCGGCUAACUACGUGCCAGCAGCCGCGGUAAUACGUAGGGUGCAAGCGUUAAUCGGAAUUACUGGGCGUAAAGCGUGCGCAGGCGGUUUUGUAAGUCUGAUGUGAAAUCCCCGGGCUCAACCUGGGAAUUGCAUUGGAGACUGCAAGGCUUGAAUCUGGCAGAGGGGGGUAGAAUUCCACGUGUAGCAGUGAAAUGCGUAGAUAUGUGGAGGAACACCGAUGGCGAAGGCAGCCCCCUGGGUCAAGAUUGACGCUCAUGCACGAAAGCGUGGGGAGCAAACAGGAUUAGAUACCCCUGUAGUCCC
rnacentral:rRNA from 1 species